ensembl:lncRNA
GUUUGAUUCAAUUCAGUUCUGAUCAGUUUAGUUAAUUAUUUUAAUUCAUUUCAGUUCAAAUCAGUUAUGUGUGCUCAUGAUCAGUUCAGAUCAGUCUAGUUCUGAUCGGUUCAGUAUGGCUUCAGUCAAACUUCUAGUUCAGUCAGAUUUAAGUCAGAUCAGUUUGGUUUGGUUCUGAUUAGUUAAAGUCAGAUCAAUGUAGUGCAGUUAAAUUUCAGUCAGCUCAGUUUGGCUCAGUUUAGGUCAAUUCAGUUAAAUUCAGUUGUGUGUGUUACGCAGGUGCAGUUGCAGAAUAUGUGGAGUAUUUCAUGGUGGAAGUGAGCGGCUGGCAGCGGAAGCUGGUGCUGGCUGAUCUGGUCAUUGGGACAUGGUUGGUGGUUCAGAGCACAUGGGCUGACCUCCAGAGCAUUUUCACCAACUCUGAGGACAUUCGGACCCAGUUGACCCAUGAUGCAGAGCGGUUUCAGGGCAUCAAUCAGGACUUCCAGGUGAGAAAAUGACUGUGUUUGUGACCGACUGUAUUGACCGACUGCACUUUUGAUGUCCAUGCUCGUGAUGUAGUUGCAAAACUCAUAUCUCAGAAGAUAAUCAAACCAAGAAGUCUGUAUUCUGUUGCCUAAAAUAAGGGUUCUCAAAAAAGGAAAUAUAAUGAUGUCAUAAUGACCUUUCUCCUAGGUCACCAGUGGACAGGCGUUUGCGUGGCUUUCGUAGUUACGGUAUCGAUGGGAUGAGAAGCAGAACAUCUGUGAUGCACAAUUUCAGUUCUCAUAGGAGUAUCUAGGGAAUACCAACAGACUGGUCAUAACACCAUUCACUGACCAUUCAGUGUCACACAUAGUUACUGAUCAGAUUUGUGCUGGUUACUGAUGUUAAUUGACUAUGCUGAUUAUUGAACCUGUAGAUGUUACAUCACUCUGACUCAGUCUCUUCACCUCACCAUGAGUGGUGCAACCUCUGGUCCUGCUGAAACUGGCAAGACUGAAACCACCAAAGACCUAGGCCGAUCACUCUGCAUUAUGGUCAAUGUGUUCAACUGCUCAGAGCAAAUGAGGGCUUGAGGGCCAUAAAGUCAGUCUUGGUUGUUGCUGGGUCACUGAAGAGGGAGGACAGGAGCCGUCUUGAAGAGCAGGUGCUCAUGGGAAUUGUAGUUUAGAUGUGAUGUAUUUUUCUUUCUCGCUUUAUAUUUUAAACAUAUUCAGUUUAUUCAGUAAUGUUUGUUCUGUAAUGUGUCAUAUGUGUGUUAUUCAGGUGUUAAUGCAUGGUUGUAACAAGUGACGUGCCAAUAUUUUUGGGCCUGAUAAUUAUGAGGACGUCGUGGCCUAGUGGUUAGAGAGUUUGACUCCUAACCCUAAGGUUGUGGGUUAGACAAUACCACGACUGAGGUGAACCUUGAGCAAGGCACCAAACCCCCAACUGCUCCCCGGGUGCCGCAGCAUAAAUGGCUGCCCACUGCUCUGGGUGUGUGUUCACGGUGUGUGUGUGUUCACUGCUGUGUGUGUGCACUUUGGAUGGGUUAAAUGCAGAGCACGAAAUAUGAGUAUGGGUCACCAUACUCAUCUAUACUCAUAGAGAGACUAUGUUAGCUAGCACAAAUGUGUUGAGUGGAUCAUGUUUCUGUUUCAGUAAACAAAUUUUUUAUGAUUUAUAUGGUUGUUUGUGGGUCGGAUUCUAAAGACACUACAUAAGAUCUACUCUAACAUGAAACUGAAGCCCAUCUGGACUGACAUAAACCCUAAAGCUGUCACUACUGAUGAGCUGUUUGGCUUCCUGCACCUAGCUACACAGGAGUGGAAAGAUGGUAUGUGUGUGUGUUUAUGGAAGUGUGGUUUUGUUUGAGUUUCUUAUCUAUAGACAGCUGUCAGCUGUGGUGUGUUUAUGUGCAAUCGUUUCACUCUACUUUUGAGUGUUGCAUUUGUCUAUUGCUAUGAGAAAUCCUAUGUCUCAUACAGAUCUAAAAUAAACUACAUGAUAUUUUGUUAUCUUAUGCA